rnacentral:tRNA from 1 species
GCACUAUUGGUUUAACGGAACAUGAUAUCUGACUUCCAAUCAGAUGAUAUGAGUUCGACUCUCAUAUAGUGCUUA